rnacentral:rRNA from 3 species
CCCAGACAGCCAGGAUGUUGGCUUAGAAGCAGCCAUCAUUUAAAGAAAGCGUAAUAGCUCACUGGUCGAGUCGGCCUGCGCGGAAGAUGUAACGGGGCUAAACCAUGCACCGAAGCUGCGGCAGCGAACGUAUCACUUAAAGCGAUUCAGCGGAUGACGAUUGACGGAGCGAAGCGACGUCAAAGCGUAUACAAAGUCGAGUCGGUUUAAGGAUACGUUCGUUGGGUAGGGGAGCGUUCUGUAAGCCUGCGAAGGUGGCCUGUGAGGGUUGCUGGAGGUAUCAGAAGUGCGAAUGCUGACAUAAGUAACGAUAAAGCGGGUGAAAAGCCCGCUCGCCGGAAGACCAAGGGUUCCUGUCCAACGUUAAUCGGGGCAGG